GAUGAACGCUGGCGGCGUGCCUAACACAUGCAAGUCGAGCGAACGGACGAGAAGCUUGCUCUUCUGAUGUUAGCGGCGGACGGGCGAGUAACACGUGGAUAACCUACCUAUAUGUCUGGGAUAACUUCGGGAAACCGGAGCUAAUACCUGACAAUAUUUAGAACCGCAUGGUUUAAAAGUGAAAGACGGUCUUGCUGUCACUUAUAGAUGGAUCCGCGCUGCAUAAGCUAGUUGGUAAGGUAACGGCUUACCAAGGCAACGAUGCAUAGCCGACCUGAGAGGGUGAUCAGCCACACUGGAACUGAGACACGGUACGGACUCCUACGGGAGGCAGCAGUAGGGAAUCUUCCACGAUGGGCGAAAGCCUGACGGGACAACGCCGCGUGAGUGAUGAAGGUCUUCGGAUCGUAAAACUCUGUUAUUAGGGAGGAACAUAUGUGUAAGUAACUGUGCACAUCUUGACGGUACCUAAUCAGAAAGCCACGGCUAACUACGUG
rnacentral:rRNA from 1 species